rnacentral:rRNA from 1 species
UACGGGGGGGGCAAGCGUUGUUCGGAAUUACUGGGCGUAAAGGGCUCGUAGGCGGCCAACUAAGUCAGACGUGAAAUCCCUCGGCUUAACCGGGGAACUGCGUCUGAUACUGGAUGGCUAGAGGUUGGGAGAGGGAUGCGGAAUUCCAGGUGUAGCGGUGAAAUGCGUAGAGAUCGGGAAGAACAUCGGUGGCGAAAGCGCUCUGCUGGACUGCAACUGACACUCAGGGACGAAAGCUAGGGGAGCGAAUGGG